UACGUAGGGGGCAAGCGUUAUCCGGAUUUACUGGGUGUAAAGGGAGCGUAGACGGUGAGACAAGUCUGAAGUGAAAGCCCGGGGCUCAACCCCGGGACUGCUUUGGAAACUGCCUGACUGGAGUGCUGGAGAGGCAAGCGGAAUUCCUAGUGUAGCGGUGAAAUGCGUAGAUAUCACGCAGAACCCCGAUUGCGAAGGCAGCCUUCCGGCGCCCUACUGACGCUGAGGCACGAAAGUGCGGGGAUCGAACAGG
rnacentral:rRNA from 1 species